CCGCGCUCCCCCGGGGGCGGCGCGAGGCUGCGGCUGUUCCCGCCGCUCCGCUCCGCUCCUGCGGGAGGGACGGGACGGGAAAGGAAAGGAAGGGAAGGGAGAGGAGAGCAGGGCAGAGCGACAGGGAAGGGGGGCGUCCCUCCCCUCCUCACUGGAGGAAUCCGCACCGGUGCGAAGUUGUCGCCCAGAGAACGGCGAGAGGCGCUCGGGCUGCUCAACCUGCUGCUGCCGCCGCCGCCGCCGCUGCUGAUCCCUCUUGCUUUUCAUUGCCCACUGCACUAAGAACUCCCUCUCACCUGAUGAGCUAAAGACACGACCCCUAAGGACGGGAAACGGAGCGUUUCAGACCUCCCCCUUCCGUGACAGUGAGUGACCCCAAAUAUAAGAGUGGCUUUCCUGCCUCAGAAUAAUGGAUAUAAAAGACAGAAGACACCGUUCCCUGACGCGGGGCCGCUGUGGGAAGGAGUGUCGCUACACCAGCUCCUCCCUGGACAGUGAGGACUGCAGAGUCCCCACCCAGAAGUCCUACAGCUCCAGUGAGACACUGAAGGCCUAUGAUCAUGACACCAGGAUGCACUAUGGGAAUCGAGUGUCUGACCUGGUGCACAGAGAGUCCGAUGAGUUCCCAAGGCAAGGAAUAAACUUC